GCUUUUUUAGUAUAAAAAAUAUAUUUGACUUCCAAUCAAAAGAUCUUAAAAUAAGAAAAAGUA
rnacentral:tRNA from 1 species